AUUGAACGCUGGCGGCAGGCCUAACACAUGCAAGUCGAGCGGAUGAAGGGAGCUUGCUCCUGGAUUCAGCGGCGGACGGGUGAGUAAUGCCUAGGAAUCUGCCUGGUAGUGGGGGAUAACGUCCGGAAACGGGCGCUAAUACCGCAUACGUCCUGAGGGAGAAAGUGGGGGAUCUUCGGACCUCACGCUAUCAGAUGAGCCUAGGUCGGAUUAGCUAGUUGGUGGGGUAAAGGCCUACCAAGGCGACGAUCCGUAACUGGUCUGAGAGGAUGAUCAGUCAAGAUGGAACCGGAAAAGCGUCCGAGCCCCAUGGGGAGGCAGGAGUGGGAAAAAUUGAAAAAUGGGCAAAAGCCUGAACCGGCCAACCCGCGUUGGUGAAGGAGGUCUUUGGAUUGUAAGGCACUUUAAGUUGGGGGGAAGGGCAAUAAGUUAAAACCUUGGUGUUUUGCCGUUACCAACAAAAAAAGCCCGGGCUAGCUUGGG
rnacentral:rRNA from 1 species